rnacentral:rRNA from 1 species
GUAGGCUCACCGAAAAAAUGCAGUCGUACGGUAGCACAGAGAGCUUGCUCUCGGGUGACGAGUGGCGGACGGGUGAGAAAGUCUGGGAAACUGCCUGAUGGAGGGGGAUAACUACUGGAAACGGUAGCUAAUACCGCAUAAUGUCGCAAGACCAAAGAGGGGGACCUUCGGGCCUCUUGCCAUCAGAUGUGCCCUCCCCUCGAUUAGCUAGUAGGUGGGGUAACGGCUCACCUAGGCGACGAUCCCUAGCUGGUCUGAGAGGAUGACCAGCCACACUGGAACUGAGACACGGUCCAGACUCCUACGGGAGGCAGCAGUGGGGAAUAUUGCACAAUGGGCGCAAGCCUGAUGCAGCCAUGCCGCGUGUAUGAAGAAGGCCUUCGGGUUGUAAAGUACUUUCAGCGGGGAGGAAGGUGUUGUGAUUAAUAACCACAGCAAUUGACGUUACCCGCAAAAGAAGCACCGGCUAACUCCGUGCCAGCAGCCGGGGGUAAUACGGGGGGUGGAAGCGUUAUUCGGAAUUUACUGGGCGUAAAGGCCCGCCGGCGGUCUGUCCAGUCGAUUUUAAAUCCCCGGGCUCAACCUGGGAACUGCUUUCAAAACUGGCAGGUUAGAGUCUUGGAUAGGGGGGUACAAUUCCCAGGGGGAACCGCUCAAAUUGCUAAAGAUUUUGGAAGAAAUACACGGUGGGCAGAAGGGCGCCCCCCCUGGACAAAUACCCGAAGUCUUCAGGUGCAAAAACCGUGGGGGAGUCAAAAGGGAUUAGACUCCCCGGGUGAGCUCCACGCGCAUAAAAGAUGUGUCAACUUUUGAGGUGUGUGCCCCUCUGAGAGAGUGUGUCCUUCCGGAUUAAAGAGCGCUAAUAUACACCCCUUGGUGAGACUCGCCCCGAGGUUACACACUCUAUGUAUAUCAUGCAGAGGUCCGCACACACACCGCGGCGACACAUUGGUGUUGUU